rnacentral:rRNA from 1 species
GACGAACGCUGGCGGCGUGCUUAACACAUGCAAGUCGAACGAAGAGCGCUGGCUGCUUUCUUCUAUCCGUCUUAGUGGCGAACGGGUGAGUAACGCGUAAUCAACCUGCCCUUCAGAGGGGGACAACAGUUGGAAACGCCUGCUCAUACCGCAUACGCUCUAAUCUCGGCAUCGAGUAUAGAUGAAAGGUGGCCUCUACAUGUCACCUAUCACUGCAGGAUGGGAUUGCGUCUGAUUAGCUAGUUGGAGGGGUAACGUCCCACCAAGGCGAUGAUCAGUAGCAGGACGGAGAUGAUGAACAGCCACAUUGGGACUGAGACACGGCCCAGAGUGCUACGGGAGGCAGCAGUGGGGAAUCGUCCGCAAGGGACGAAAGUCUGACGGAGCAACGCCGCGUGAGUGAUGACGGACGUCGGGUUGUAAAGCUCGGUUAAUCGGGAGGAAAGGCCUUCUGGCGAAUAGGGAGAAGGAUUGACGGUACCGGAAGAGAAAGCCACGGCUAACUACGUG